AUUGAACGCUGGCGGCAGGCCUAACACAUGCAAGUCGAGCGGAUGAGUGGAGCUUGCUCCAUGAUUCAGCGGCGGACGGGUGAGUAAUGCCUAGGAAUCUGCCUGGUAGUGGGGGACAACGUUUCGAAAGGAACGCUAAUACCGCAUACGUCCUACGGGAGAAAGCAGGGGGACCUUCGGGCCUUGCGCUAUCAGAUGAGCCUAGGUCGGAUUAGCUAGUAGGUGAGGUAAUGGCUCACCUAGGCGACGAUCCGUAACUGGUCUGAGAGGAUGAUCAGUCACACUGGAACUGAGACACGGUCCAGACUCCUACGGGAGGCAGCAGUGGGGAAUAUUGGACAAUGGGCGAAAGCCUGAUCCAGCCAUGCCGCGUGUGUGAAGAAGGUCUUCGGAUUGUAAAGCACUUUAAGUUGGGAGGAAGGGCAGUAAGUUAAUACCUUGCUGUUUUGACGUUACCAACAGAAUAAGCACCGGCUAACUUCGUGCCAG
rnacentral:rRNA from 1 species